rnacentral:rRNA from 1 species
UACAGAGGGUGCAAGCGUUAAUCGGAAUUACUGGGCGUAAAGAGUGCGUAGGUGGUUAGGUAAGUUAGAUGUGAAAUCCCUGGGCUCAACCUAGGAACUGCGUUUAAAACUGCUUAGCUAGAGUAUUGUAGAGGAUAGUGGAAUUUCCAGUGUAGCGGUGAAAUGCGUAGAUAUUGGAAGGAACACCGGUGGCGAAGGCGACUAUCUGGGCAAAUACUGACACUGAGGCACGAAAGCAUGGGGAG